rnacentral:rRNA from 1 species
AUACGUAGGGGGCGAGCGUUGUCCGGAAUGAUUGGGCGUAAAGGGCGCGUAGGCGGCCCGGUAAGUCUGGAGUGAAAGUCCUGUUUUUAAGAUGGGAAUUGCUUUGGAUACUGUCGGGCUUGAGUGCAGGAGAGGUAAGUGGAAUUCCCAGUGUAGCGGUGAAAUGCGUAGAGAUUGGGAGGAACACCAGUGGCGAAGGCGACUUACUGGACUGUAACUGACGCUGAGGCGCGAAAGUGUGGGGAGCAAACAGGAUUAGAUACCCUGGUAGUCCACGCGGUAAACGAUGAAUGCUAGGUGUAGGGGGUAUCGACCCCUUCUGUGCCGGAGUAAACGCAAUAAGCAUUCCGCCUGGGGAGUACGGCCGCAAGGUUGAAACUUAAAGGAAUUGGCGGGG